rnacentral:rRNA from 1 species
UACGCAGGUGGCGAGCGUUGCCCGGAAUUACUGGGCGUAAAGGGUGUGUAGGUGGCUGCCAUAGUCGGGAGUGAAAUCCCGGGGCUUAACCUCGGGUUUGCGUUCGAUACUUGGUGGCUGGAGUGCGGGAGAGGGAAGUGGAAUUCCCGGUGUAGCAGUGAAAUGCGUAGAGAUCAGGAGGAACACCGAUGGCGAAGGCAGCCCCCUGGGCCUGUACUGACGCUCAUGCACGAAAGCGUGGGGAGCAAACAGG